GGCGCUUUUUCAAUCCAAGCAUUCUUUAAUACAAACCAGGGUGAGGAAAGGAACAAAAACAGAAACUGGAUCGGCGUAUGUGUGAAUGCUGUAUUGUCAUGGUCUUUGUUUAGUUAGCAUAUUGUCUUGUUCUUGUUUUUGCUUGUAUAGUCUUUGUUCACACAUGUGAAUUUGUGAUUUUUUUUUUUAAGACUAUUAAUUAUUUU
rnacentral:lncRNA from 1 species